rnacentral:hammerhead_ribozyme from 1 species
AACUGGUCGGGAGCUGAUGCCGUUCUCCUGACGAGACCAUGGCAAGUCGAAACCAGUU